AGAUACUUCAGAUGUAUUUUGAGGGAUCGGCAUGUAACAGAAACAUUUCAAGUGAGAAUUUUAUCAAUGAAUUUGAUAAAGAAUUUGAAACUCUUUCAAAUGGUCACAAAGAUACACGCGUUAAUACAAAUAAUAUAAUGAAUGUGUCAUAUGUCAGGUUAUGUGCGAUUAAAUAAAUACGUGUAUAAAUAUCAAAGCUAAUAUCAUUAGUAUAGCUGAAAAGGGAUAUUAAACUUUAUCGAUCUAAAACAACUUGACAAAAGUUAGACAACCUGGUCAACUGGACAAUUGGAAGCUGAAAGGAUACAUCUCAUAACGGGAAAAGAUGAUUUGUGUAAACUCUCCAAGGUCAAACCAAUCACUGUUGUUGUUGUUGCUGCUGCUGCGGAGAGCUUACUUCCUGUUGUAUUAUUCGGCUGAUGGUUCAGUACUUGACUAAAACCAAACAAUUGAUCUGAGACUACUUGACAUUCAGUGAAUGAUAGAUAUUCUUAAAGGAGUUGUUGUGUUAUGGAACUGCAGGAUCUUGCACUUCUCUUACUUAAAAAUGUAUUAAGAACUGCUGAUCCAAAGCCAGCUUUCCCAGAUGCUGAUGCUGAAUCUUUAGUAGACUCCAUGCCACAAAAACAAGCGAUGUAACAUCAAGAUGUUCUUGCUGCUAAUAAUAAGAUUUUCAAAGUUCAAGGAAAGGGGCUCUUGAUUAAUGCGCCAAAAAAGUUGUUAAAGUUUUGGUUGUUGGAAGUACAGCAAAUAACAACAAUAUAGUACUUCUUUGCAGUACAGGUACUAUGGGGUUGAUAAUCCCGGAAUAAGUUCUUCAACAGACAUAAACGGUGAAACAGAGAUGGAUAGUACUGGAUCAUCUUCUAGUGUACAAUGGGUACAUUGUUUAAGUUAAAAAACAAUCAUAAUAUGCAUGUAAUAAUGCAGAUUUGUGUGAGUAUGUAUAGAGAUAAUGUGUGAUAUGUGCCUAGAUAAUAUAAACGAUUGAUGCAUAUAAAGCGAUUAUUAUAUCACAAAUAAUUUAAGAAUCAUUAUUUAAAAAUAUAAGUAAAAAUGAUACUUG